rnacentral:rRNA from 1 species
UUAAGUGACUAAGCGUACACGGUGGAUGCCUUGGCAGUUGGAGGCGAUGAAGGACGUAUUAACUUGCGAUAAGCCUAGUCAAGCUAGUAAAAAGCACUUGAGACUAGGAUUUCCGAAUGGGGAAACCCACCUGCUUGCAGGUAUCGUUAACUGAAUACAUAGGUUAACGAGGCGAACGCGGAGAACUGAAACAUCUAAGUACCCGUAGGAAAAGAAAUCAACCGAGAUUCCGAAAGUAGCGGCGAGCGAAAUCGGAACAGCCCUUAAGCUUAUUAUGUGUUAAUGGAAGGCUCUGGAAAGUGCCACGAUACAGGGUGAUAGUCCCGUACAUGAAAAGACAUUUUAAGUGAAAUCGAGUAGGUCGGAGCACGUGAAACUUUGACUGAAUAUAGGUGGACCAUCAUCUAAGGCUAAAUACUCCCAACUGACCGAUAGUGAACCAGUACCGUGAGGGAAAGGCGAAAAGAACCCCUGUGAGGGGAGUGAAAUAGAACCUGAAACCGUGUACGUACAAGCAGUAGGAGCAGACUUGUUCUGUGACUGCGUACCUUUUGUAUAAUGGGUCAGCGACUUAUAUUUUGUAGCGAGGUUAACCGAUUAGGGUAGCCGUAGGGAAACCGAGUCUUAACUGGGCGAAUAGUUGCAAGGUAUAGACCCGAAACCCGGUGAUCUAGCCAUGGGCAGGUUGAAGGUUGAGUAACAUCAACUGGAGGACCGAACCCACUAACGUUGAAAAGUUAGGGGAUGACCUGUGGCUAGGAGUGAAAGGCUAAUCAAACCGGGAGAUAGCUGGUUCUCCCCGAAAUCUAUUUAGGUAGAGCCUCGGACGAAUACUUACGGGGGUAGAGCACUGUUAAGGCUAGGGGGUCAUCCCGACUUACCAACCCUUUGCAAACUCCGAAUACCGUAAAGUACUAUCCGGGAGACACACGGCGGGUGCUAACGUCCGUCGUGAAGAGGGAAACAACCCAGACCGCCAGCUAAGGUCCCAAAGUCAUAGUUAAGUGGGAAACGAUGUGGAAAGGCCCAGACAGCCAGGAGGUUGGCUUAGAAGCAGCCAUCCUUUAAAGAAAGCGUAAUAGCUCACUGGUCGAGUCGGUCUGCGCGGAAGAUGUAACGGGGCUAAACUAUGCACCGAAGCUGCGGAUUCAUACUUUGUAUGAGUGGUAGGGGAGCGUUCUGUAAGCGGUUGAAGGUGUACCGGGAGGUAUGCUGGACGUAUCAGAAGUGCGAAUGCUGACAUGAGUAACGAUAAUGCGGGUGAAAAACCCGCACGCCGGAAGACCAAGGGUUCCUAUCCCAUGUUAAUCAGGGUAGGGUAAGUCGACCCCUAAGGCGAGGCCGAAAGGCGUAGUCGAUGGGAAACGGAUUAAUAUUUCCGUACUUGGUAUAAUUGCGAUGGGGGGACGGAGAAGGCUAAGCAAGCAUGGCGAUGGUUGUCCAUGUGAAAGUGAGUAGGGCGUUUGUUUAGGUAAAUCCGGACGAACAUUAAACCUGAGACACGAGACGAGCUACUACGGUAGUGAAGUUGCUGAUGCCAUACUUCCAGGAAAAGCCUCUAAGCUUCAGAUUAUACCGAAUCGUACCCCAAACCGACACAGGUGGUCAGGUAGAGAAUACUAAGGCGCUUGAGAGAACUCGGGUGAAGGAACUAGGCAAAAUCGUACCGUAACUUCGGGAGAAGGUACGCUCCUAUCUGUGAUGAGACUUGCUCUCUAAGCGGACGGGAGCCGCAGUGACCAGGUGGCUGGGACUGUUUAUUAAAAACACAGCACUGUGCAAAAUCGCAAGAUGACGUAUACGGUGUGACACCUGCCCGGUGCCGGAAGGUUAAUUGAUGGGGUUAUCUUCGGAGAAGCUCUUGAUCGAAGCCCCGGUAAACGGCGGCCGUAACUAUAACGGUCCUAAGGUAGCGAAAUUCCUUGUCGGGUAAGUUCCGACCUGCACGAAUGGUGUAACCAUGGCCACGCUGUCUCCACCCGAGACUCAGUGAAAUUGAAAUCGCAGUGAAGAUGCUGUGUACCCGCGGCUAGACGGAAAGACCCCGUGAACCUUUACUACAGCUUGGCACUGAACAUUGAACCUACAUGUGUAGGAUAGGUGGGAGACUUUGAAGAUGAGACGCUAGUCUUGUUGGAGUCGUCCUUGAAAUACCACCCUUGUAGUUUUGAUGUUCUAACGUUGGCCCCUGAAUCGGGGUUACGGACAGUGCCUGGUGGGUAGUUUGACUGGGGCGGUCUCCUCCCAAAGAGUAACGGAGGAGCACGA